GCCGGGCAUGGUGGCUCGUGCCUGUAAUCCCUGAACUUGGAGGCUGAGGUGGGUGGAUCACCUGAGGUCAGGGGUUCAUCACCAGCCUGGCCAACAUGAUGAAAUCCCAUCUCUA
ensembl:misc_RNA Metazoa_SRP Metazoan signal recognition particle RNA